ensembl:snRNA U6 U6 spliceosomal RNA
AUCAGAGAGGUGCUCAUUUUGGCAAAAGCUGGAACAAUACAGAGAAGAUUAGCAGAGGUCCUGUGCAAGGAUGACAUGCAAACUCAUGAAAUGCUCCAUUUAAAA